rnacentral:rRNA from 1 species
GACGAACGCUGGCGGCGUGCUUAACACAUGCAAGUCGAACGGAAAGGCCCUGCUUUUGUGGGGUGCUCGAGUGGCGAACGGGUGAGUAACACGUGAGUAACCUGCCCUUGACUUUGGGAUAACUUCAGGAAACUGGGGCUAAUACCGGAUAGGAGCUCCUGCUGCAUGGUGGGGGUUGGAAAGUUUCGGCGGUUGGGGAUGGACUCGCGGCUUAUCAGCUUGUUGGUUGGGUAGUGGCUUACCAAGGCUUUGACGGGUAGCCGGCCUGGGAGGGUGACCGGCCACAUUGGGACUGAGAUACGGCCCAGACUCCAACGGGAGGCAGCGGUGGGAAAUAUUGCACAAUGGGAGGAAGCCUGAUGCGGAAACGCCGCGUGCGGGAUGACGGCCUUCGGGUUAUAAACCGCUUUAGCCUGUGACGAAGCGUGAGUGACGGUAAUGGGUAAAGAAGCACCGGCUAACUACGUG